GAAAGCGUGGGGAGCGAACAGGAUUAGAUACCCUGGUAGUCCACGCCGUAAACGAUGAAUACUCGCUGUUAGCGAUACACAGUUAGCGGCUAAGCGAAAGCAUUAAGUAUUCCACCUGGGGAGUACGUUCGCAAGAAUGAAACUCAAAGGAAUUGACGGGGGCCCGCACAAGCGGAGGAACAUGUGGUUUAAUUCGAUGAUACGCGAGGAACCUUACCUGGGCUUAAAUGUAGAGUGCAUUAUUUGGAAACAGAUAUUUUCUUCGGAACUCUUUACAAGGUGCUGCAUGGUUGUCGUCAGCUCGUGCCGUGAGGUGUCGGGUUAAGUCCCAUAACGAGCGCAACCCUCAUCGCCAGUUGCCAUCACGUAAAGGUGGGGACUCUGGUGAAACUGCCGGUGUAAACCGAGAGGAAGGUGGGGAUGACGUCAAAUCAGCACGGCCCUUAUGUCCAGGGCUACACACGUGUUACAAUGGCCGAUACAAAGGGCAGCUACCUGGUGACAGGAAGCUAAUCUCCAAAGUCGGUCUCAGUUCGGAUCGGAGUCUGCAACUCGACUCCGUGAAGCUGGAUUCGCUAGUAAUCGUAUAUCAGCAAUGAUACGGUGAAUACGUUCCCGGGCCUUGUACACACCGCCCGUCAAGCCAUGGAAGUCGGGGGUGCCUGAAGUCCGUAACCGCAAGGAUCGGCCUAGGGUAAAACCGAUGACUGGGGCUAAGUCGUAACAAGGUAGCCGUACCGGAAGGUGUGGCUG
rnacentral:rRNA from 1 species